GAAUAUUUAGCUGAAGUCAGGAUUCUUGCAUGUGAGGACUGGGUCGAUGCUGGGUGACUUUGGCUGAGCCGCAGACGGAUAUGAAAACCCAGCCUGCUGUUAACAAUGGAGAAUUGCCUAAUUUCAGGCAUCCAGGAUGGCGAAGCUGGAGCUACUGAAGGGACCUACAGUCUCUCAAGCACCUGUCCUUGGAGUGAGUUUGUCCAUGAUGAAGGACCACUGUGAUUGGAGGGAUUGUUCUUGGAUCACAAGGAGGGCCCUGAAAGAAUGCAGAGGUCAAGGCUGCCGUAGAAGCUCACUGUG